rnacentral:ncRNA from 1 species
AUCAGGAUGAAUUUAAUUUUGGUUCUGAUUGAACGUUUUUCAGUAGUUUUGAGACAUGCAAAUCGUUGUUCUUAAAAGUUUUAUGUUAAAGUGGAAAAUAGUCACUAAAAAUAAUAUAAGACCAAUAAGAAUAAGGUGUAAAGGUGAGUAUUGUAAAUCAGAUACCUUAUAGUCUUCUUAAUUCGGAGAUAUUUUUACUUCUGGAAUUAUACCAAUUAACUAUUUAAGGUUGCAAUGACAGAUACUUAUUAAAAUUAGUUAAAUAAUAAUUUAUAUAAUUUAAUAAGAACAAGUAAAAAGAUAAAUUAGCUAUUUAUCAAGAAAGGAAUUUUUCUGCUAUAAGAUUCGAUUUAUUUUGUUUAAUGGUAGUUGGUAGGGUAAAGGCCUACCAAGCCUACGAUCAAAAGCCAAGUUUGAUAGAACAGAUGGCCACAUUGGGAAUGAAAAGCCCCAAGUAGUUUAAACUACCAGCAGUCAAGAAUAUUAGUCAAUGCUCGCAAGAGUGAACUAGCUAACUGAAAUCACAUGAGACAUAAGUGUGUUAAAUGUGAUAAGGUAAGGGAAAAAACUGAUUUAACCUUACUAUUAGUGUUGUCCAAAUCUGGUGCCAGAAGACUCGGUAAGACCAGAAACGCAAACGUUAAUCGUCCUAAUCAGGCGUAAAGGGUUUGUAGGCCGCUUUAACUAUUUUUGUUUAAAAAGCUCUGAAUCUUUAAAAAUUCAGUAAAUAGAAAUACACUAAAAGCUAGAAUCAAAUAGAGGAUAAGCCGAAUAAUACUUAGAGUAGGGAUGAUAUCCAUAGAUACUAAGGGGAAUACUAAAGGUGAAAGCUUUUAUCUACUAUUGAUUGACGCUGAGAAACGAAGGUGAGAAUAGGAAAUAGGAUUAGAUACCCAGAUACCUCUCACUGUCAACGAUGAAUGGUGGUUUGUUAGUUUUAAUAAAAACUGAUAACGAUGUUAACGCGAUAACCAUUCCGCCUUGCGAGUACGGUUGCAAAACUGAAACCAAAAAAAUUAGUCGGUCUCGAAGCAAACGAAGUGAAGCAUGUUAUUUAAUACGAAAGUACGCGUAAAAUCUUACCUGUUCUUGCAUAGCCAUUCUUUACUAGAAAUAUCUAGUAACUUUUAAAUAAGUAACAGAAUGAGUAGUAAUCUAAUUAUUAUAUAUUAGAUUAUUCGUUUACAGGUGUUGCAUGGCUGUCGUCAGUCCGUGUUUUGAGAAGUUAGGUUAACUCCGCUAACGGACGCAAUCCCUGUUGUUAAUUUAUACUUAACAAUUAAUGAAUUUUAUAUAUUUUCAUUUGGGGCUAAGACAAGUCGUUAUGAUCCUCAUGAACAGGGCUAUAGACGUGCUACAAGAACUUUUACAAAGUGAAGCAAAAACCAGACCCUUGUACUUUGUUUAUACAACAAAAGUUAAUAUUUAAUAUAAUAUUAAAUAAUAGGGUUAUAAGGAAUAGCUAAUCAUUAAAGAAAGUUAAAUAAUUAAAUUAUAGACGGAUUGUCGCCUGCAAUUCGGUGACAUGAAGAAGGAAUUUCGAGUAAUCGUUGAUCACUACGCAACGGUGAAGAUGGAAUUCGGGAUGAACUAACUGUCUGUCGCUGGGAAGGAGCUUAAAUUGGGGGAAACUGCCACGAGGUUAAAACUUAAACAAAGGAAAACACAUAUUAAUAAUAUCCGCAAAAAUAUUAUUAUUAAAUUUUAUUCUGUAAUAAGAUUAAAGUUAAGUGUAGUUUCUAUGCUAUUUUAUAGUAUUUUUAAUAUUGUAAUUUAGUCUUUUAUAAAAAAAACACCUUUGUUAAGCUAAUUAGUAUCAGUUAACUCAAUUAAGUAACAUUUCAAAAGUCAUAGCAAGGUAGUGGUACUGGAAAGUGCUGCUGGAAAAUAAAAUAU